GGGCUAGUAGUAGAAUGCCAACAAGAAAGAUCACAGAUAAAAAAUAAAGAAAUAGCUUUUCGUGUGUUGAGAGCUAGACUCUACCAGCAGAUUAUUGAGAAAGACAAGCGUCAGCAACAAAGUGCUAGAAAACUGCAGGUGGGAACAAGAGCCCAGUCAGAGCGAAUUCGGACAUAUAAUUUCACCCAGGAUAGAAUCAGUGACCACAGGAUAGCAUAUGAAGUUCGUGAUAUUAAGGCUCAGUCUCAUUCCACGGGUGGUAGUCGUGACCCUGCACAUUCCACAUUCCUAUCCUUGGGUUCUGUGAGAUCACCUGCUAUUCUCAUUAUGACUUUUUCUGUAGGAAUUUUUAUGUGGUGGGAAGGGCCUGGAUCAGCUAAUUCAGAGACUGCUUCAAUCAGCAGAUGAAGAAGCCAUUGUUGAACUUUUGGAUGAACACCUUAAAUCAGCAAAAUAAAUACUAACUUAUUAUUAUUUAUGAUUAUAUAAAUGAAAUGGACCUAUAUUAAGAGGCAGACUGAAGCUUGGAAAUCAUUAUGAAUAUUUGUAAAUUACAGCUUUAAGAACACAUUACACAUAAAUAUAUGUUUUUUAAUU
rnacentral:sRNA from 1 species